rnacentral:rRNA from 1 species
UACGGAGGGUGCAAGCGUUAUUCGGAAUUACUGGGCGUAAAGCGCGUGCAGGCGGGCCGAAAAGUCUGAUGUGAAAGCCCCGGGCUCAACCUGGGAAGUGCAUUGGAAACUGUUGGUCUUGAGUUCUGGAGAGGAAGGGGGAAUUCCCGGUGUAGAGGUGAAAUUCGUAGAGAUCGGGAGGAAUACCAGUGGCGAAGGCGCCCUUCUGGACGGCAACUGACGCUGAGACGCGAAAGCGUGGGGAGCAAACAGG